CAUUGUUGAACCAGAGAAGAGCAGGUCAGGAGGGUUCAUCAUGAAACUAAGAGAAAGCAAGCUAGAAGAAAACGUGAUUUCUUACCCAACUCCACACAAAUUUGAGAGGUUGAAAGCCUAUGCCCUGCAAUUGGAAACUUGAGCAUCACUGCAUUUCAAGCUCCUCCUCCUCCUUGUCUGUCCCUCAUCAAUGAAGCUUGAAGAACCCCUCUGCUGAGCCCACCACUAGACACUUGUCACUGCUACUGGAAAACUUCAGAAUCUCAUUUGUCUUCAUCUUCACAUUUGCCCUUAUUCUGGGCAUAUGUGACCAUGUGACCUCCUAGAUCUUUGACCUAAUGACCCUUUUCUCUGCUUAGCUUUGGCUUCCUGUUCUCACAGUGCAGGCUAAGAAGUC
rnacentral:lncRNA from 1 species